AGCUGCCUCAACCACCAUGGGUCAACAUCCAGGAAGGAAGACGUUUCUAAGGAAACUGCGGAGGCUUUCCACCAAGGUGGUUGCAUGAAAGCACUGAAACUGAAACUGAAACCCCCACUGGUGAGCAGCCCAGUUCACUGGAUCCAACACCUGACAAGAGGAUUUGGAAUGAUGAUGAGCACAGUGUCACCCGUCAUGGUGAUGUCUCCUGAGCUAGCACCUCCCUGCUGUCACAAAGCUGAGAAUGAGACAUGAAUGAUGAUGUGAGCAGGAGAUUUCAGGAAUGGGACUUUCUGACCAUGACCAUUCCCACCUCUCAUUUCUUGCCUGGCACAUCUCUAACUGCAUAAAUUACUCCUUAUCUACCUCCAAUUAUGCCUACUGCCACUGAACUCCCUUUUUCCUAGAUGCAUUCCACUCUUAGCAUCCUUAUGCUUUUAUAUGGUGUAACAGACCAUAAUUUCUCUAUUUUUGGUCACCUGUUGAGCCUGCUUAUGAAUCUGAUCAUUGUUUAUAUGGUAACUCUGAAGCAGUCCACAAAGAGGCAUUACACAAAGCCAGGUCAAGCUUGAAAGUUUAAUUUUGCCUUUGCUGUUCUGAAGGUGAAUGUAAUCUAAAACACGCACACAGAAUUGAAGGGGUAAGAAAAUGCAUCAACCAAACUGACAGAAAAGCAGUCCAAAUCUAUGUGGGCAGAAAAGUGAUUUGCUUUGCAGAAGGACUGAAACAAAGAGGGUGGAAGGAAGAAAGAGAGCAAGAAGGACAGACAUCUGCCAUACAGCUCCAGCACUUGUAACAGAAAUGAUGUGUUUGUUCAGACCAGAGCACACACUCUUUUACCCGGACAAUUCUGCUGUCACAUGCUGCACACCAGACAAAACCAUACAUCAAAGUUACCAAGCACUUGCUAAACAGCAAGCAUAGCCAUUUAUCAUGUAACGUUACAUACAUGCUGUUUCACCAUGGAAUGCAGCAUGUUUGGCUGGAACACAGUAGCAGCCGCCUCCAAAUAUGCUGAAUGAUCAAGUGUUUUUGUGCUGGGCGGAAGCUAUUACAGUGUGACCAUCAGGCUCGCUUAGUUUCUCAUUUAAGUUGCUCCACUGAAGCUACAUCAUCAAAUGUUGUUGGUGGGUAAUUUGUUUGGUUAUAUAUAUAUAUAUAUGUGUGUGUGUGUGUGUGUGUAUAUAUACGGUACAUUUCUUGAUUUUAUCCUGAGAUUCACUGGUUUGGCUUCCAGAACAAGAAGUGGCUGAGCAGACCUAUGUAUUCUAGUUGAACAUCGCGAAGCCUGUAAGCUGCAAGCUUUCUUUAGGGGACAGCAUGUGGGUUAUUAUUAAACCAGAAAACAUACGUGGAUAAUUGAGGCAAGGGAUCCAACAUUUAGCUCAGAAAAUGUGAAGUCAGCUUGCUGUGAAUAACAUAUCUCUGCAUUUUGACCUGUUGCUGACAACGAAUAUAUUUCACUUUUACCUGGAUAGCAAUGAGUGUGGGGGGGGUUUCCUCCUCUAAAUGAAAGCCAGUUGAGAGAAGCUGGCAACAGACAAAUGAUGCUCAUUCCACCCCUGCUUUUACUUAAUGGCUGCUAUCAAGGUCCUCGGCAUUCAUUGGUGACAUUGCUAUUAAAAACAUAUUUCUUAUCUGGCUCUUUUAUUCCUACAAAUCGAGCAUGGAAAUAAAUCUGUGCUGACAGAGCA
rnacentral:lncRNA from 14 species